CGUAAUGUCAGUGUCAUUCAUUCUCCAGAGUUCCAAAAGCUGUGGCGCAGUGUUCCUGUUGAUUCCAUAGAUGAGGAAAAGAUUGAAGAGUACCUGAAGAAACAGGGCAUAUCGUCCAUGCAGGAGACAGGCCCAAAGAAAAUGGCACCCAUUCAGAAGAGGAAGAAACCUGGAACACAGAAAAAGAGACGGUUUAAGACUCAUAAUGAUCAUCUGAGCGGAGUACUGGAGGACUACUCUGAGGGAGUUCCCUCCAAGAAGUGACACACACAUGCAGCUUUAAAGGCUCAAAGUGACAAGACUGAUAUCUGUGUGAUGUUUGUAUAUCUGAUCUAACGUCUUAUUGCCAAAUCUAUAAAGACAUGCAGACACGCACACACACACACACACACCCCUUAAAACUGUACUGAGUGACACGAAUGUGAACGGAUUGUAAAUAUUUCCUUUCCACUGUUAUGUUUUACUUUUUGCUAGUGCUUUAAAAAUGGACAAUUAAGCUCUUCUUUUUUUAGAUUUAAAGAUUAAACAAGAGCAAUCAAACCACA